rnacentral:ncRNA from 1 species
UUCUUAUCAAGAGUAGGUGGAGGGACUAGCCCAAUGACACCCGGCAACCGACAAACCUUUGUAAUCCAAAGGGGAGCACGGUGCUAAUUCUUGCGGAAACGCUGUUUACAGCGAAUCUGGGAGAUAAGAG